CUAUAUUUGUUAACAUAUAUUAUUUUCUGUGGUUUACCAACCAAUUUCAUCACCUUAAUAGGAACACAGUUUCCAUCAAUAACUCUGUAAAACAACAAUGAAGAACAAAUUUAGGUUAGACAAAUUUGUAACGACCCUAGAAAUAUCUAAAGAAAAUAAAAGAUAAUUAAAGUACGGAAGCGUAAUAAAUGUUCAAAGUUUACAUUCUUUACAUAAAUAACUUAAAGUACCAAACAGCGUUACGAAAUUCACUCUUUUGAAAGAAACACAAGAAUAAGGAGAUAAACAGGAAAUAAAGAAAUCUAGCAUCUCCUUACAAU
rnacentral:lncRNA from 1 species